rnacentral:rRNA from 1 species
GAUGAACGCUGGCGGCGUGCCUAAUACAUGCAAGUCGAGCGAACGGACGAGAAGCUUGCUUUUCUGAUGUUAGCGGCGGACGGGUGAGUAACACGUGGAUAACCUACCCAAAGACUGGGAUAACUUCGGGAAACCGGAGCUAAUUCCGGAUAAUAUUUUGAACCGCAUGGUUCAAAAGUGAAAGACGGUCUUGCUGUCACUUAUAGAUGGAUCCGCGCUGCAUUAGCUAGUUGGUAAGGUAACGGCUUACCAAGGCAACGAUGCAUAGCCGACCUGAGAGGGUGAUCAGCCACACUGGAACUGAGACACGGUCCAGACUCCUACGGGAGGCAGCAGUAGGGAAUCUUCCGCAAUGGGCGAAAGCCUGACGGAGCAACGCCGCGUGAGUGAUGAAGGUCUUCGGAUCGUAAAACUCUGUUAUUAGGGAAGAACAUAUGUGUAAGUAACUGUGCACAUCUUGACGGUACCUAAUCAGAAAGCCACGGCUAACUACGUG